UUGCUGGGGAAUAACAUUGUGAAAACAGUGCUAAUACCGCAUGACAUCCGACCGGGGCAUCCCGGACGGAUCAAAGGAGAAAUCCGGCAGAAGAUGAGCUCGCGUCCGAUUAGCUAGUUGGUGAGGUAACGGCUCACCAAGGCGACGAUCGGUAGCCGAACUGAGAGGUUGAUCGGCCACAUUGGGACUGAGACACGGCCCAGACUCCUACGGGAGGCAGCAGUGGGGAAUAUUGGGCAAUGGGGGAAACCCUGACCCAGCAACGCCGCGUGAAGGAUGAAGGCUUUCGGGUUGUAAACUUCUUUGAUCAGGGACGAAAAAAAUGACGGUACCUGAAAAACAAGCCACGGCUAACUACGUGCCAGCAGCCGCGGUAAUACGUAGGUGGCAAGCGUUAUCCGGAUUUACUGGGUGUAAAGGGCGUGUAGGCGGGUCUGCAAGUCGGAUGUGAAAUUCCCGGGCUUAACUCGGGCGGGUCAUCCGAAACUGCGGAUCUUGAG
rnacentral:rRNA from 1 species